rnacentral:rRNA from 1 species
GACGUAGGAUGCAAGCGUUGUCCGGAAUUAUUGGGCGUAAAGAGUUCGUAGGCGGUUUGUUAAGUCUGGUGUUAAAGACGGGAGCUCAACUCCCGCAUGGCAUCGGAUACUGGCAGGCUAGAGUGUGGUAGAGGUCUCGGGAAUUCCAGGUGUAGCGGUGAAAUGCGUAGAUAUCUGGAGGAACACCGGUGGCGAAAGCGCGAGACUGGGCCAUAACUGACGCUGAGGAACGAAAGCCAGGGGAGCAAAAGGG